UUGCUAAAGUUAGUUGAGCCUCAACCUCAAGAGGCACUCAACACAAAGGUGGGAGUAUUCCUAAUACUGAGCAUAAGAGGAGGCUAGCUUUGGAGUUAGGAAGAGACCCUACUAUGUUUGAACUAUUCAAGAGGACGCAUUUAAAUGAUAAAACCGGAAAAUUUGCGGAUCGGCAAGCAGAAUUAGCUCAUGAUGAGUUUAUAAGGAGAAAGGCAGAAUUAAG